rnacentral:tRNA from 1 species
AGUCUUGUAGUCAAUAAUGAUAUUAGAUUGCAAAUCUGAAGGAGUAAAUAAAAAAUUAUUAAGGCUU